GUAGUCCGCACCAUAAACGAUGGAUACUAGGUGCUCGGAGUGUUAACCCUCUGAGUACCAAAGCUUACGCAUUAAGUAUCCCGCCUGGGAAGUACGGCCGCAAGGCUAAAACUCAAAGGAAUUGACGGGGGCCCGCACAAGCGGUGGAGUAUGUGGUUCAAUUCGAAGCAACGCGCAGAACCUUACCUGGGCUUAACAUCCCACGACGACUGUAGAGAUAUAGUUUUCCCUUCGGGGACGUGGAGAUAGGUGCUGCAUGGCUGUCGUCAGCUCGUGUCGUAAGAUGUUGGGUUAAGUCCCGCAACGAGCGCAACCCUUGCCCUUAGUUACCACCAUUAAGUUGGGGACUCUAGGGGGACUGCCGGUGUUAAACCGGA
rnacentral:rRNA from 1 species